rnacentral:sRNA from 1 species
UCGAACUACACCUUCGCUGGGGCGCU